UACGGAGGGUGCAAGCGUUAAUCGGAAUUACUGGGCGUAAAGCGCACGCAGGCGGUUUGUUAAGUCAGAUGUGAAAUCCCCGGGCUCAACCUGGGAACUGCAUCUGAUACUGGCAAGCUUGAGUCUCGUAGAGGGGGGUAGAAUUCUAGGUGUAGCGGUGAAAUGCGUAGAGAUCUGGAGGAAUACCGGUGGCGAAGGCGGCCCCCUGGACGAAGACUGACGCUCAGGUGCGAAAGCGUGGGGAGCAAACAGG
rnacentral:rRNA from 1 species